GACGAACGCUGGCGGCGUGCUUAACACAUGCAAGUCGAACGGAAAGGCCUGCUUUCCCUUGUGGAUUGCGGGUACUCGAGUGGCGAACGGGUGAGUAACACGUGAGUGAUCUGCCCCCAACUUGGGUAUAAGCCUGGGAAACUGGGUCUAAUUCCCGAUAGGACUGCAGGGUGGUGCCUGUGGUGGAAAACGAUUUUCUUGUGGUUGGGGAUGAGCUCGCGGCCUAUCAGCUUGUUGGUGGGGUAAUGGCCUACCAAGGCGGCGACGGGUAGCCGGCCUGAGAGGGUGGACGGCCACAUUGGGACUGAGAUACGGCCCAGACUCCUACGGGAGGCAGCAGUGGGGAAUAAUGCACAAUGGGCGGAAGCCUGAUGCAGCGACGCCGCGUGGGGGAUGACGGCCUUCGGGUUGUAAACUCCUUUCGAACGAGAGGAAGCCACCUGGUUGGAAGGGUGGUGACGGUAGUGGUAGAAGAAGCACCGGCUAACUACGUG
rnacentral:rRNA from 1 species